CAACUGGACCAACUCAUUAAAUGAAGCCUAACCCCUUUCUCUCCCUCAUUUGGAUGCAGCAGCGUGAAACACUUCCAGGGAGGGGAGAAAGCUUUCGUAACUUUACGGUAAAUUUCCGAUCCCCGUAACUUCUCCGUCCGAGCUCCGAUCGCCGCACCGUUUGUGGCCACGCGUCUACCGCGUCGAGCUCUACAUUUCUACCGGAACAAUUUCACUGAUGCAGGUCGGGAGCCAUCUCGUUAGACGUCUGGACUCUUAAAGCGGAGGGGUUAUUGGAUAGUGUUGUUAUAUAGUUUUGUUGUACAGUGAUGUAUAUAUAUGUACUUAGCUUUCUCUCUACAUAACUUGUCCUUUUUUAUCCUCUUAGAGAUUUAUGGAGAAGCAGGAUUGUGUGUAUGUACUUUUGGAUUUUGGAUAUAUAUGUAUAUAUGUGUAAAUAUUCUCCGGCCAGUCUUGACUUCGCAGGCUGAGUUAGGGGCUUGUUAUUUUGUAUCUUUGGCACUCUA